CUCCAGCCUCCUGGCCUCCAGGCCUCCGGGCCCCUGGUCUCUGGUCCUUUGGCCCCCAGCCCCCCUGGCCUCCGGGCCCCCAGCCUCCGAGCCCCCAGCGUACUGUCCACAGCACCUUCAGAACUCCCCCAAGCCUGCCCGCUGCUCAAUGCCUAUGGCCAGCCCACAGUGGCUCAGAGCCCUGCCCUACCUUCACCGGCCUGCCUGCUCCUGUGGGCCCCCCUCUGAGAGGAUGGGCCCCGGCCCCUCCCUGAGCUCCUCGGUGCCUGCCCUGGGGACCUCCGUCUGCAUCCCCUCUGCUUCCUGAGGCUCCGGGCAGGUCUGCCGUCCCCGUGGGAACGUCUUUCCACGAGUGAAGGGCUCCACAAAGGACCCGAAACUGCCUGACGCACAGAUCCCCCGGGAGAUGCUGAUUGGAUGCAGGGACAACAGAUGGGCGGAUGUGUGGGUGCGGAGCUCUACCCUCAGCCUCCUGUCCCAGAGACAGCCACCAGACCAGCUCGGGGUGCUUGCGGCCCAGUCCACGCCAUUCCUUUCUCGGGGCUCCGGGCGAAGCCUUCAGGAAGAGUGGCCUCUGUGUGUUCCCGUAACACAGGACACUCCCAUCCCUGCUGGGACGAUGCGUGCCCCACGUGUCCUGUCAGCCCCUGGGGUUUGAGCCCCCGUCCUAAGAACUCACAGCAUUCCUCCUGAGAGGGGCUGCUCUGAGACCCACGGAGCCAUUCAAAGGGCAGAAGAACAGAGUGUUAUUGGGUGGACUCACGGAUUCUGCAGUGCCAUUGUUGGCUGUGGCUGGGUGCUGCCAGGAACAGAGGAAGGGAAGCAAGCCCCAGCAGAGGUGGGUGAGCCCUGGGGCACCUCGUGUGACGGGCAGCACUCAGGUGAGGAAUCUGGCUGCGGGGCUGUGUUUGUGGGCAUCUGCAGGAUGAAUGCAUCUCCAGGGUGGAUGGUCUGAGAACCGUGCCAGCCUCCCCAGUGAGCCUGGUCAGCAUCACCAUGUGGGGUGUGCACCGUCCCCUCCUGACCCCUCCCUGACCCCUCCGCGCCCAGCUGCCGGCCCCUCCCCUUGACCACUUCUCCACUGUUACCCCUUGGACUGUGGCCGUGAGUGGGUGGGCAACCUCUAACCGGGUGUGUGGUUUUAGGCAGGGCUGCAGCUUGCCCCGAUCCAAGGCUGCCAUCCACAGAGGGACACAGCGGCAAGACCAAGUGCACCCAGAGGGCUGUUUGCAUUUUGUGGGGACAUCUUGAGAAGUGUCCUCAGGACCCUGAUGACCGCCCUGGUCACAGCAGCCUUCAGACAGCCAUCAGCCACCCCCUCUACCCCGCCCCCCCCGGCCUGGGUCACCAGGGGGGUCUGCCUGCAGACACAUGACCUCAGAACGAAGCGCCCCAGAUGGGACGAGGCACAGAAUUGGAGUCUGGGAGUCCAAGGUCAAGCCCGACGGGGCUCGGUUCUGGUGACGAGUCCCCGCGUGGCCUGUCCCCAGAGCAGGCCAGAGCAGGAGGAGGGCUCUUCCUUCCUCUUCCUAUAAGGCGCUGAUCCCGUUGGAUCAGGACCCCACCCUAUGACUUCACGUCACCAUGACUGCCUCCUGACGACCCCUCACUGAGUGUCAUCAUGGCGGGCAGCUGGGGCUUCAGCACAGGAAUUUGAGGGGAAGGCGCAGGUCAGUCCAUGACACCCACGGCAGACCCACAACCACACGGCGUAACCUAAAAUGCGAAAGCAACGCAAGGAACCAGUCCAAACCCUGAAUGUCAAAAGUAAGAAAAUCGAGAGGAAAACAUCACGUCUAGUCCAUCGUGGUACUUGCGGUUAUGAAUUUCGUCCACGGGGUUGGUGAGGAGCACCGUAUGAAUAAAGAAGCAAUGGCUUAU